AAUUUUCUUGCCGUGUUUUUUCACACCUGAUGACGAUUGCUUGUGUUGCGGUCGAAACGUCGUGAGAAUUUAAUUGUUUUAUAUUUUUUAUGAUUUUAUUUUUUCCCUUCUACGUGACUUUACCGAAAGAACCGAGAAUAUGAAUCCCUGCAGUCACAAAAUCUUUAAAUCAAAAUGUAACUUCUUCAUUCUCGCAAUCUUCAACAAGCGGCCAAGACCAAGGCUCUUGCGCGCUUGAACGCGAAGCGAAGUGGAUGAUCCUUACUUCCGCAAGGGUACGAAUGCCAGGUGCACCCUCAAGAUGAGCAAGCUCAAUGGAUGGAGCCCACCGUUGCUGUACCGCCUUCUCCUGGCCAGCCAGCCACAGCUCUGCCUGGGAUCCACGAACUCUCGCUGCUGCCUCGGCAGUCCAGGAUUGCAGGCUGCCACCUGCAGCGUGGCCUCCACCGCCCGCGAUCCACGUGAACCACGGUCGGCGCCGUUACGGGUCUCGCCUGGCAUACAGGAGGUUGUGGGUUCAAUCCCGACCCUGACGCCUGUAUAGUCGGAGUUUGUGGAGUCUCACCUCCAAUGGUCGCGUGGAUUUUUCUCCGGGUUCUCCUUUUUUCCCUUCACAUUUAGAAUCAUCACGCAUUUAGAGUAUUUGCCUGCUAUAAAUGUCCACGUGACAAGCCACUUUGUUGAGCUGUCAUUUGUGGCCAGGUCGCUUCUGAAAGAGAGCUACAUAGCUCAGUGGGCCUUACCUGGUAAAAUAAAAAAAAUUGUUAAGCGUUUAGCAGUUUUUCUUUCAACGGCGGUAGGAACAGCAACGACACAAGAUUCCUACAAGGCCGUCUUCGUCAGCGAGCAUUAGCGCUGAUUGCGAACGAAUCCCAACGACUCAGUGAAGCUUUCCUGGAUUUUGAAAAAAGAAAGAAAUAAAAAGGCGAGGGACCUGCGCAUCGGAGAGACGUUUAAGGGGAGGUGAAUAAUGAAUGUAAGGAGCCGCUCGCUCUGAAAGGGUUUUUAGGGAGCGGUGAGUUUGACUCGGCCCAACCAUCCCUGACCGCACUCUCUCAAAGCCGACGCGGCAGCACUUAAGCCUUUUACACGCACGCACGGACACGGCACGGACAGACGCAGACACGGCACAGACAGACGCACUCACGGGCACGGUACAGACAGACACACACACAGACACAACACAGACAGACACACUCACGGACACGGUACAGACAGACGCACUCACAGACACAGUACAGACAGACACACUAACAGACACGGCACAGACAGACACACUCAUAGACACGGCACAGACAGACACACUCACAGACACGGCAGAGACAGACGCGGGCACGGACACCGUGCGUGACGACGCCAUGGCUAAUGACGAUGGUGCCCGCAGUAUUAACCAGGGUGGCCGCUCUACCCGAACCGCAAACCUCUGCAGGGAGCGAGUGGCAAAAGCGCAAAUUCUCUGCUCCGUCAGCGCCCAGGUGCGGCGUGUUUCUAUUCUUUACCGCCGUUGGUACCGGGGCGGCGAGAGCAGCCGUGGGAUCGGAGAGACGCGGCACCCGUGGGACUCACUCGUCGAUGGUGAAGCAGGCGAUGCGCUUGGCCAGCCCACGCCGGCGCUGCUCCUCCAGCGCGCCGCGGCCCAGGAACGAGACGGACGACUUGAGCUUGCAGAGCAGUUCAAGCGAUUCGUGGAAGUGGAUAUCGCAGAGCUACCUCCGAGAUCUCUUCUUCACGUGACCUCUGGCCCACCGCACAGCGGCUGAAACCUGGAUUCGAGCCCAGGUCCUGAGCCCUGACGGGGGUGGGGGACCCUGGGAAAGAACGGUCAGCCCAUCGCCGGCUCACCCUUCUCGAUGGAGAGCGAGUCGAUGGCGCGGUAGCCGGCGUUGACGAUGCCCAGGGGCCGCCCGGCCUCCAUCACCGCCGCGUAGACGGCACCGCACGCGGCCGCCGGCACGUGCAGCUCCCAGCCCAGCUCCCCCACGAACGACACGCGCAUGGCGCGCACCUGCUUCCGCGACAGGGGGGGGGGGGACACGGUGGUCAUUCCGUUAGCGCAGGGGUCGGCAUCCAAUAACUAACGACAAGAGCCCUUUUUGUUCGAAUUGGGUACACGGUUUAAUGUUUCAAGAGCCGCCAUGCUCGUGAAAGCGAGACGCUCGUUUGUAAAUAACGUCACGAGGCAGCGCUUUGAAGAGCUGCGUGCGCACCCGUAGCCACGGGUUGCGGACCCCUGCGUGAGCGAAAUCGGUGGCAGCAAUGUCCACGUUGUUCACGGGUGGCUCUGUGUGUGUAGCGUGGGUGAAAACCGUCGAGCGUGACGAUGGCCUGCGACUUCAUCUACUUCACAGUACGGUGAUGAGAGCAACAGCUGUAAUUUUAUAUUGAGUUGGUUGAUUGGUUCGCAAAAGCCCAGCUUGAUUGAUUGGGCCUAGACAAAAAGAUUUUUGUACAAUAAUUUGUUUUUGUUUAGGAUCGAUUUGAAAGCAUGCCGUCACGGGGAGUGACGUCACGAAUAUUUACGUCCCGCCCACGCCAAGUGGCAUCGAGUGACAUACCUUUGGUAAGCACGAAGACAAACGUUCAAAUAAUACAAAUCCAAAACUCAUUCCUAGGGGGUGGUAUGGGAGAGUAUGAACCCAGGAAGCCUCACUGCUUAACGAGCAUGGCGACCAGGGCGUGUGGAAGUUCUCAGCGCAUCCCUGGGUUGUUCUUGAGCCGACCCGGCCCGACCCGGCUCCAAGUGUUUGCAGAAACGACGCAAACUCGCAAGGCUCUCCCAGGCGAGCGAGCGAACGAACGAACGAACGAACGAACGAGCGAACGAACGAACGAACGAGCGAACGAACGAACGAGCGAACGAACGAACGAACGAACGAGCGAACGAACGAACGAACGAACGAACGAACGAACGAGCGAACGAAGCGAACGCAAGGGAGGCAAAGUUGCCGGCUGCCAAGGCGGCGUCGACUGACGAUAAUCGGGAUAACGAACCCAGGGCCAAGGGGCGGCGGCUUCCCACACCUCCGAGUAUGACGCCCGCACGGCUGCCAAGGGGGGACUUGUUACGCCGAGGUCGGCGCCGGGCUCGAGGCUCGUUAGGGGGCAGAGCGCGCUGCCUAAAGGAGUCCGAGCGGAGACGUGGCGCGCGUGUCCGCGUGCCGUGUGUGGCGCGCAUGGAAAGACAGCGCACUGGAGCGGUGGCGCGGCGGUUAGCGCGCUGCGCUGCGAACCCGGCGACCCGAAUUGGAUUCCCGGCCAAAGCUAAUGUCACGUGACGAAUAUCUGAGCCAGUCCUUGGCCUCUUCUGGAUUCGCCCAGAAUUAAAUUAGUUGCUGGUGUGGUGAGUCGGCAAAGGCAGCCGGGAGCGAUGCUGGCCACACCACCCUCUCA